rnacentral:misc_RNA from 1 species
GCUAUUAUGAAUGCGCAUCCGCAGCGUGCCGCAAAAAGCGCGGAUUCUAAAAACAUCAGUGAUAAUGAAAUAAAAUAUCAAUAUAAAUGGUUACUCUUAUCCAUCGGUGCUUGGCCACAAACGACCAUAGUGAAGAAGAUACUUGUGUCAAUACAAAUUGUUAUCAGUGCGAGCUCGGUGGCAGUUGUUAUGAUACCAUGCUUGUUGUACGUGUUGUUUGACGAUGACAGCAUCCAGAUUAGAUUAGGCGCUCUUGUUUCAUUGCUUUUUAGGAUUAUGAGCACAGCAACUUACUGGGUGAUAAUUACGCGCCAAAAAGACAUAUACGAUUGUAUACUACACAUGAGCGCCGAUUGGAAACGAAUUCAAAGAACAACUGAUCGCAAACUAAUGAUUAAAUAUGAUAAGAUUGGCAACUUCUUGGUAAAACUCAGUACGUCAUUUGUGUUUUUUGGUUCGCACGUGUUUAUCAUAGCACGAGCGGCAAAAACCAUAACUUUCACAAUCGGUAACGAAACUUUUAAGACACAUCCAAUGGCAUGUCCGAUAUACAAGAAAAUCAUCGACGUGAGAUUCAGUCCUGCAAACGAGAUUUUCCUGUUUCUGCAGUUUCUUUCGUCACUUGUAUCAAAUUGCAUUAUAGUGGCUUUUUUUAGUAUUGCCGCUGUCUGUGCGAUGCAUGCUUGUGGCCAGUUGCAAGUAUUAUAUACGUGGCUGAAUGAAGUUGUCCAGAAUCAUGAAGAAAACAAUUUAGCACAAGAGAAAAUAGGAGAUAUUGUAGAGCAUCACUUAAGAAUCUUCAGUUUUACAACAAAUUUAGAAAGUAUUAUGAGCCGAACUUGUCUGAUAACUAUAAUGGCAUGCACAUUACAAUUAUGUUUCCUUGGAUAUUACGCUAUUAUGAAUUGGGCUGCAUUUGAUGCUGCAAAAAUGGCAUCAUAUAUUUGCGUAUAUACAUCAAUAUCUUACUGCAUAUUCGUGUAUUGCUACAUCGGUGAAGUAGUGACAGAACAGAAAUUAAAAAUUGUUAUAUAUUUGCAUUUAUUUAUUAGUGCAAACAAGUUGCGGAGGUAGCAUAUAUGACCGAAUGGUACAAAUUGCCUUAUACAAUAGCACGCAACUAUGUUUUGAUAAUUCUGCGAUCAAAUCAAGCAGUGAAAAUGACUGCGGGGAAGAUGUUACAACUGUCCAUCGCAACUUUUGCCGAUAUAGUCAAAACUUCAGUGGUAUAUUUAAAUUUUUUGCGAACAAUGACUGAAUGAAAUAUAGUAAGUUAAAAAAUAGCAAAAUGCACGUAUAGAAUGUUUUCCA